rnacentral:rRNA from 1 species
GUUGUAUGGUUAAGUGACUAAGCGUACACGGUGGAUGCCUUGGCAGUCAGAGGCGAUGAAAGACGUAGUAACUUGCGAUAAGCCCAGAUUAGGUAGUAACAACCAUUUGAGUCUGGGAUUUCUGAAUGGGGAAACCCACGUGCAUAAGCACGUAUCCUUACCUGAAUACAUAGGGUAAGGAGGCGAACCGGGGGAACUGAAACAUCUAAGUACCCCGAGGAAAAGAAAUCAACCGAGAUUCCGAAAGUAGCGGCGAGCGAAAUUGGACUAGCCCUUAAGCUUUACACGCGUUAGACGAACGGUCUGGAAAGUCCGACGAUACAGGGUGAUAGUCCCGUAGUUGACGACGUGUGUUCAGUGAAAUCGAGUAGGGCGGGACACGUGAUAUCCUGUCUGAAUAUGGGGGGACCAUCCUCCAAGGCUAAAUACUACUGACUGACCGAUAGUGAACCAGUACCGUGAGGGAAAGGCGAAAAGAACCCCUGUGAGGGGAGUGAAAUAGAACCUGAAACCGUGUACGUACAAGCAGUAGGAGCAGGCUUGUCCUGUGACUGCGUACCUUUUGUAUAAUGGGUCAGCGACUUAUAUUCAGUGGCAAGGUUAACCAUCUAGGGGAGCCGUAGGGAAACCGAGUCUUAACUGGGCGUUCAGUCUCUGGAUAUAGACCCGAAACCAGGUGAUCUAGCCAUGGGCAGGUUGAAGGUUGAGUAACAUCAACUGGAGGACCGAACCGACUAAUGUUGAAAAAUUAGCGGAUGACUUGUGGCUAGGGGUGAAAGGCCAAUCAAACCUGGAGAUAGCUGGUUCUCCCCGAAAGCUAUUUAGGUAGCGCCUCGGACGAAUACUACUGGGGGUAGAGCACUGUUAAGGCUAGGGGGUCAUCCCGACUUACCAACCCUUUGCAAACUCCGAAUACCAGUAAGUACUAUCCGGGAGACACACGGCGGGUGCUAACGUCCGUCGUGGAGAGGGAAACAACCCAGACCGCCAGCUAAGGUCCCAAAUUACUACUAAGUGGGAAACGAUGUGGGAAGGCUCAGACAGCCAGGAUGUUGGCUUAGAAGCAGCCAUCAUUUAAAGAAAGCGUAAUAGCUCACUGGUCGAGUCGGCCUGCGCGGAAGAUGUAACGGGGCUAAGUAGUAAACCGAAGCUGCGGCAAUAUACUUUUGUAUAUUGGGUAGGGGAGCGUUCUGUAAGCGGUUGAAGGUGUGUGGUAACGCAUGCUGGACGUAUCAGAAGUGCGAAUGCUGACAUGAGUAACGAUAAAGGGGGUGAAAAACCUCCUCGCCGGAAGACCAAGGGUUCCUGUCCAACGUUAAUCGGGGCAGGGUAAGUCGACCCCUAAGGCGAGGCCGAAAGGCGUAGUCGAUGGGAAACGGGUUAAUAUUCCCGUACUUCUUACAAUUGCGAUGGGGGGACGGAGAAGGCUAGGUGGGCCUGGCGACGGUUGUCCAGGUUCAAGUGCGUAGGCUUAAGAGUUAGGUAAAUCCGGCUCUUUUUAAGGCUGAGACACGACGUCGAGCACCUACGGGUGUGAAGUCAUUGAUGCCAUGCUUCCAGGAAAAGCCUCUAAGCUUCAGAUUGUAAGGAAUCGUACCCCAAACCGACACAGGUGGUCGGGUAGAGAAUACCAAGGCGCUUGAGAGAACUCGGGUGAAGGAACUAGGCAAAAUGGUACCGUAACUUCGGGAGAAGGUACGCUCUUGAUGGUGAAGUCCCUCGCGGAUGGAGCUGACGAGAGUCGCAGAUACCAGGUGGCUGCAACUGUUUAUUAAAAACACAGCACUGUGCAAAAUCGUAAGAUGACGUAUACGGUGUGACGCCUGCCCGGUGCCGGAAGGUUAAUUGAUGGGGUUAGACUUCGGUCGAAGCUCUUGAUCGAAGCCCCGGUAAACGGCGGCCGUAACUAUAACGGUCCUAAGGUAGCGAAAUUCCUUGUCGGGUAAGUUCCGACCUGCACGAAUGGCGUAAUGAUGGCCACGCUGUCUCCACCCGAGACUCAGUGAAAUUGAAAUCGCUGUGAAGAUGCAGUGUACCCGCGGCUAGACGGAAAGACCCCGUGAACCUUUACUACAGCUUGGCACUGAACAUUGACCCUACAUGUGUAGGAUAGGUGGGAGGCUUUGAAGCACGUACGCCAGUAUGUGUGGAGCCGUCCUUGAAAUACCACCCUUGUAGUGUUGAUGUUCUAACGUCGACCCCUAAUCGGGGUUGCGGACAGUGCCUGGUGGGUAGUUUGACUGGGGCGGUCUCCUCCCAAAGAGUAACGGAGGAGCACGAAGGUGGGCUAAUCACGGUUGGACAUCGUGAGGUUAGUGCAAUGGCAUAAGCCCGCUUGACUGCGAGAAUGACAAUUCGAGCAGGUGCGAAAGCAGGUCAUAGUGAUCCGGUGGUUCUGAAUGGAAGGGCCAUCGCUCAACGGAUAAAAGGUACUCCGGGGAUAACAGGCUGAUACCGCCCAAGAGUUCAUAUCGACGGCGGUGUUUGGCACCUCGAUGUCGGCUCAUCACAUCCUGGGGCUGAAGUCGGUCCCAAGGGUAUGGCUGUUCGCCAUUUAAAGUGGUACGCGAGCUGGGUUUAGAACGUCGUGAGACAGUUCGGUCCCUAUCUGCCGUGGGCGUUGGAAGAUUGAAGGGGGCUGCUCCUAGUACGAGAGGACCGGAGUGGACGAACCUCUGGUGUUCGGGUUGUGUCGCCAGACGCAUUGCCCGGUAGCUAAGUUCGGAAUCGAUAACCGCUGAAAGCAUCUAAGCGGGAAGCGAGCCCUGAGAUGAGUCUUCCCUGAUACUUUAAGUAUCCUAAAGGGUUGUCGGAGACUACGACGUUGAUAGGUCAGGUGUGUAAGUGCUGUGAGGCAUUGAGCUAACUGAUACUAAUUGCCCGUGAGGCUUAACCAUACAACACCCAAGGGGUUU